GCUACGUCGGAAAUCAAACCAAAUACUGUAGUUUUUUUUUAUUAAAUUACAUGGUACAAAUGAUUUCACGCGAAGGAAUUACAUCUAGUCUAAAGCUGAUUAUCUAUGCGGAUAAUUUUAUAAUUUAAUUUCCAUCAUAUAAAAAUAUUCUAUAUAUUGUAUAUGAAACAACGACGAGUAGAGGUUGCAAAAGAGAUGCUUACCGACGACGCUGAGGAUCCUAUUACUAUUGACGAAUCAUGGGUUUAUCGAAAUUGUCCAACAAUCUAGCUAAUGGCGCUCCAAAACUGAGCCGAAAAUGAAAAAGCUGAGUCUCGCCGAAGGCACUGAAAACCAUUCCAGCCGAGGCUUAUAACAAGUGUAUUGAAAAUUGGAUUAAGCGUUGGCAUGCUUAUAUCAACUCAGGACCCAUUUUUCAAGGCAAUAAUAAAGAGUUGUAUUAAAAUA